rnacentral:rRNA from 1 species
CAGAGCAAUCUGUGUGACUGCGUACCUUUUGUAUAAUGGGUCAGCGACUUAUAUUCUGUAGCAAGGUUAACCGAAUAGGGGAGCCGAAGGGAAACCGAGUCUUAACUGGGCGUUAAGUUGCAGGGUAUAGACCCGAAACCCGGUGAUCUAGCCAUGGGCAGGUUGAAGGUUGGGUAACACUAACUGGAGGACCGAACCGACUAAUGUUGAAAAAUUAGCGGAUGACUUGUGGCUGGGGGUGAAAGGCCAAUCAAACCGGGAGAUAGCUGGUUCUCCCCGAAAGCUAUUUAGGUAGCGCCUCGUGAAUUCAUCUCCGGGGGUAGAGCACUGUUUCGGCAAGGGGGUCAUCCCGACUUACCAACCCGAUGCAAACUGCGAAUACCGGAGAAUGUUAUCACGGGAGACACACGGCGGGUGCUAACGUCCGUCGUGAAGAGGGAAACAACCCAGACCGCCAGCUAAGGUCCCAAAGUCAUGGUUAAGUGGGAAACGAUGUGGGAAGGCCCAGACAGCCAGGAUGUUGGCUUAGAAGCAGCCAUCAUUUAAAGAAAGCGUAAUAGCUCACUGGUCGAGUCGGCCUGCGCGGAAGAUGUAACGGGGCUAAACCAUGCACCGAAGCUGCGGCAGCGACACUGUGUGUUGUUGGGUAGGGGAGCGUUCUGUAAGCCUGUGAAGGUGUGCUGUGAGGCAUGCUGGAGGUAUCAGAAGUGCGAAUGCUGACAUAAGUAACGAUAAAGCGGGUGAAAAGCCCGCUCGCCGGAAGACCAAGGGUUCCUGUCCAACGUUAAUCGGGGCAGGGUGAGUCGACCCCUAAGGCGAGGCCGAAAGGCGUAGUCGAUGGGAAACAGGUUAAUAUUCCUGUACUUGGUGUUACUGCGAAGGGGGGACGGAGAAGGCUAUGUUGGCCGGGCGACGGUUGUCCCGGUUUAAGCGUGUAGGCUGGUUUUCCAGGCAAAUCCGGAAAAUCAAGGCUGAGGCGUGAUGACGAGGCACUACGGUGCUGAAGCAACAAAUGCCCUGCUUCCAGGAAAAGCCUCUAAGCAUCAGGUAACAUCAAAUCGUACCCCAAACCGACACAGGUGGUCAGGUAGAGAAUACCAAGGCGCUUGAGAGAACUCGGGUGAAGGAACUAGGCAAAAUGGUGCCGUAACUUCGGGAGAAGGCACGCUGAUAUGUAGGUGAAGUCCCUCGCGGAUGGAGCUGAAAUCAGUCGAAGAUACCAGCUGGCUGCAACUGUUUAUUAAAAACACAGCACUGUGCAAACACGAAAGUGGACGUAUACGGUGUGACGCCUGCCCGGUGCCGGAAGGUUAAUUGAUGGGGUCAGCGCAAGCGAAGCUCUUGAUCGAAGCCCCGGUAAACGGCGGCCGUAACUAUAACGGUCCUAAGGUAGCGAAAUUCCUUGUCGGGUAAGUUCCGACCUGCACGAAUGGCGUAAUGAUGGCCAGGCUGUCUCCACCCGAGACUCAGUGAAAUUGAACUCGCUGUGAAGAUGCAGUGUACCCGCGGCAAGACGGAAAGACCCCGUGAACCUUUACUAUAGCUUGACACUGAACAUUGAGCCUUGAUGUGUAGGAUAGGUGGGAGGCUUUGAAGUGUGGACGCCAGUCUGCAUGGAGCCGACCUUGAAAUACCACCCUUUAAUGUUUGAUGUUCUAACGUGGACCCGUGAUCCGGGUUGCGGACAGUGUCUGGUGGGUAGUUUGACUGGGGCGGUCUCCUCCUAAAGAGUAACGGAGGAGCACGAAGGUUGGCUAAUCCUGGUCGGACAUCAGGAGGUUAGUGCAAUGGCAUAAGCCAGCUUGACUGCGAGCGUGACGGCGCGAGCAGGUGCGAAAGCAGGUCAUAGUGAUCCGGUGGUUCUGAAUGGAAGGGCCAUCGCUCAACGGAUAAAAGGUACUCCGGGGAUAACAGGCUGAUACCGCCCAAGAGUUCAUAUCGACGGCGGUGUUUGGCACCUCGAUGUCGGCUCAUCACAUCCUGGGGCUGAAGUAGGUCCCAAGGGUAUGGCUGUUCGCCAUUUAAAGUGGUACGCGAGCUGGGUUUAGAACGUCGUGAGACAGUUCGGUCCCUAUCUGCCGUGGGCGCUGGAGAACUGAGGGGGGCUGCUCCUAGUACGAGAGGACCGGAGUGGACGCAUCACUGGUGUUCGGGUUGUCAUGCCAAUGGCACUGCCCGGUAGCUAAAUGCGGAAGAGAUAAGUGCUGAAAGCAUCUAAGCACGAAACUUGCCCCGAGAUGAGUUCUCCCUGACCCUUUAAGGGUCCUGAAGGAACGUUGAAGACGACGACGUUGAUAGGCCGGGUGUGUAAGCGCAGCGAUGCGUUGAGCUAACCGGUACUAAUGAACCGUGAGGCUUAACCUUACAACGCCGAAGGUGUUU